rnacentral:rRNA from 1 species
CACGUAGGGCGCGAGCGUUGUCCGGAAUUAUUGGGCGUAAAGAGCUCGUAGGCGGCCUGUUGCGUCCGCUGUGAAAGCCCGGGGCUUAACCCCGGGCGUGCAGUGGAUACGGGCAGGCUGGAGGCAGGCAGGGGAGAACGGAAUUCCCGGUGUAGCGGUGAAAUGCGCAGAUAUCGGGAGGAACACCGGUGGCGAAGGCGGUUCUCUGGGCCUGUACUGACGCUGAGGAGCGAAAGCGUGGGGAGCGAACAGG